rnacentral:rRNA from 1 species
GACGAACGCUGGCGGCGUGCUUAACACAUGCAAGUCGAGCGGGGUCCAACCGGUGGCAACACCGGGGAAGACCUAGCGGCGAACGGGUGAGUAACACGUGAGGAACCUGCCCCGAAGUCUGGGAUAACCCCCCGAAAGGGGAGCUAAUACCAGAUGCCUUCGUCGGACCGCAUGAUUCGACGAGGAAAGAUUCAUCGCUUCGGGAGGGCCUCGCGGCCUAUCAGCUUGUUGGUGAGGUAACGGCUCACCAAGGCAGCGACGGGUAGCUGGUCUGAGAGGACGAUCAGCCACACUGGGACUGAGACACGGCCCAGACUCCUACGGGAGGCAGCAGUGGGGAAUCUUGCGCAAUGGGCGAAAGCCUGACGCAGCAACGCCGCGUGGGGGAUGAAGGCUCUCGGGUUGUAAACCCCUUUCAGCAGGGACGAAUCUGACGGUACCUGCAGAAGAAGGACCGGCCAACUACGUGCCAGCAGCCGCAGUAAAAC